AGAGUUUGAUCCUAGCUCAGGAUGAACGCUGGCGGCGUGGAUAAGGCAUGCAAGUCGAACGGCCCGCAAGGGCAGUGGCGAACGAGGUAGUAACACGUAGGAACUUCCCCUUUAGUCAGGAAUAACUAGUCGAAAGAUUAGCUAAUACCUGAUAGUCUCUUCGGAGUAAAGAUUUAUCGCUAAAGGAAAGGCCUGCGGAGUAUCAGCUAGUUGGUAGGGUAAUGGCCUACCAAGGCGUAGACGCUUAGAGGACCUGAGAGGGUGACCCUCACCGAUGGUACUGAGACACGGACCAUACACCUACGGGUGGCUGCAGUCGAGAAUCUUCCGCAAUGGACGCAAGUCUGACGGAGCGACGCCGCGUGAUUGAUGAAGUCCCUCUGGGACGUAAAGAUCUUUUAUCGGGGAGAAAGUUUAUUGAUAGUACCCGAGGAAUAAGGGGUUGCUAAACUCGUGCCAGCAGCAGCGGUAAUACGAGUGCCCCAAGCGUUAUCCGGAAUUACUGGGCGUAAAGGGUGUGUAGGUGGUCGUGUUAGUCUCUCGUUAAAUUCUUCGGCUUAACCGGGGGCAUGCGGGGGAAACGGCACGACUUGAGGGUGGGAGGGGCUGAUGGAACUCAUGGAGUAGGGGUAAUAUCCGUUGAUAUCAUGGGGAACACCGAAAGCGAAGGCAGUCAGCUGGCCCAUUCCUGACACUGAAACACGAAAGCGUAGGUAGCGAAUGGGAUUAGAUACCCCAGUAGUCUACGCCCUAAACGAUCAUCACUAGCUUUGCGGAGUAUCGACCCUCUGCGAGGCGAAGCUAACGCGUUAAGUGAUGCGCCUGGGUAGUACGGCCGCAAGGCUAAAACUCAAAGGAAUAGACGGGGACUUGCACAAGCAGAGGAUUAUGUGGUUUAAUUCGAUGAUAAACGAAAAACCUUACCAAGAUUGGAAAUUUAACUGAAUGCUCGGAGAAACUCGAGCAGCCGCAAGGCAGUUAGACAGGUGAUGCAUGGCCGUCGUCAGUUCGUGAUUUGAGUUGUUCCCUUCAGUGGGGUAACGAACGCAACCCUCGUUGCCUGUUACACGAAGUCAGGCGAGACUGCCCCUUAUCAGGGGAGGAAGGUGAGGAUGACGCCAGGUCAGCAUGUCCCUUUAAUAUCUUGGGCUACACACAUAAUACAAUCGUCGGUACAACGCGUUGCGACGGGGUAACCCUGAGCCAAUCGUAAGAAAGCCGGCGCCAGUUCAGAUUGGGGGCUGAAACUCGACCCCAUGAAGUUGGAUUUGCUAGUAAUCGCGGGUCAGCCAUACCGCGGUGAAUACGUUCUCAAGUCUUGUACUCACCGCCCGUCAACUCAAGGGAGUUGGGAGUACCCGAAGUUCCCGCUUGCGGGACCUAAGGUAAGCUCAAUGACAGGGAGUAAGUCGGAACAAGGCACGGGUAGCGGAAGCUGCUCGUG
rnacentral:rRNA from 1 species